GGGGGGGCACGUAAGGAAAGCGGAAGCCGGGAAUGGAAAGCCCGGUGCAAGCGGGGUACCAGCCACUUUGGCAAAUCCGGGUGGCAAUGGGAAGCCGUGAUGCGGGGCGAAAUAAAGUAGCGAAGUCCGUGAGCCAUGCGUCAAGAAAAGCCGCUAUUGUUUAUACCGUACCCGUACCGUAAACCGACACAGGUGGAUGAGGAGAGAAUCCUAAGGCCGGCGGAAGAAGCAUUGUCAAGGAACUCGGCAAAAUGGCCCCGUAACUUAGGGAUAAGGGGUGCCUGGGAAACCAGGCCGCAGAGAAUAGGCUCAAGCAACUGUUUAGCAAAAACACAGGUCUAUGCGAAACCGAAAGGUGAGGUAUAUGGGCUGACGCCUGCCCGGUGCUGGAAGGUUAAGAGGAGAGGUUAGCGCAAGCGAAGCUUUGAAUUUAAGCCCCAGUAAACGGCGGCCGUAACGAUAACGGUCCUAAGGUAGCGAAAUUCCUUGUCGGGUAAGUUCCGACCCGCACGAAAGGCGUAAUGAUUUGAGCGCUGUCUCGACAAUGCAUCCGGUGAAAUUGAAGUACCAGUGAAGAUGCUGGUUACCUGCGCCAGGACGGAAAGACCCCAUGGAGCUUUACUCCAGUCUGGUACUGGGACUCGGUAUUGCAUGUACAGGAUAGGUGGGAGGCUAGGAGAUGGUAACGCCAGUUGCCAUGGAGCCGCUGUUGGGAUACCACCCUUGCAGUAUUGGGUUUCUAACCAGCCGCCGUGACCCGGCGGUGGGACAAUGCCAGACGGGGAGUUUGACUGGGGCGGUCGCCUCCGAAAGGGUAUCGGAGGCGCCCAAAGGUUCCCUCAGAAUGGACGGAAACCAUUCGAAGAGUGCAAAGGCAGAAGGGAGCUUGACUGCGACACCGACGGGUGGAGCAGGUACGAAAGUAGGGCUUAGUGAUCCGGUGGUAUUAAGUGGGAAUGCCAUCGCUCAACGGAUAAAAGCUACCCUGGGAUAACAGGCUUAUCACUCCCAAGAGUUCACAUCGACGGAGUGGUUUGGCACCUCGAUGUCGGCUCAUCGCAUCCUGGGGCUGUAGUAGGUCCCAAGGGUUGGGCUGUUCGCCCAUUAAAGCGGUACGCGAGCUGGGUUCAGAACGUCGUGAGACAGUUCGGUCCCUAUCCGGCGUGGGCGUAGGAUAUCUGAGAGGAGCUGUCCUUAGUACGAGAGGACCGGGAUGGACGGGCCGCUGGUGCAUCGGUUAGACUGCCAAGUCUACGGCCGAGUAGCCAAGCCCGGAAGGGAUAAACGCUGAAGGCAUCUAAGCGUGAAGCCCCCCUUAAGAUGAGAUAUCCCAUUCGAAAGAAGUAAACCCCCUUGAAGACGACGAGGUAGAUAGGGCAGAGGUGGAAGUGCAGCAAUGCAUGGAGCUGACUGUUACUAAUCGGGUGAGGGCUUGAUC
rnacentral:rRNA from 1 species